AUGCGAGUUGACAAAACAGCCAGAGAACAGGGCUCCCCAUUACAAUCUUUUCGAGCUCUUUUCCCUUGCUAACCGGAUCUGAUUUGUGCGAAAACGGGCCUCGCACUUGUACCUGGAGGAACUGGAGACAGUGGAUUCGACCUUUAGCAGCGGUCAUCUACCUGGUGUCAAUAGUGGUUGCGGUUCCCCUAUGCGUGUGGGAAUUACAGAAACUGGAGGUUGGAAUACACACCAAGGCUUGGUGUAUUGCUGGAAUCUUUUUGCUGUUGACUAUGCCUGUAUCACUGUGGGCGAUACUGCAACACUUAGUGCAUUAUACACAACCUGAACUACAAAAACCAAUAAUGAGGAUUCUUUGGAUGGUACCCAUUUACAGUUUAGAUAGUUGGGUAGCUUUGAAAUAUCCCGGAAUUGCAAUAUAUGUGGAUACCUGCAGAGAAUGCUAUGAAGCUUAUGUAAUUUACAACUUUAUGGGAUUCCUUACCAAUUAUCUAACUAACCGGUAUCCAGAUCUGGUAUUAAUCCUCGAAGCCAAAGAUCAGAAGAAACAUUUCCCUCCUUUAUGUUGCUGUCCACAAUGGGCUAUGGGAGAAGUAUUGCUGUUUAGGUGCAAACUAGGUGUAUUACAGUACACAGUUGUCAGACCUUCCACCACCAUCGUUGCUUUAAUCUGUGAGCUGCUUGGUAUAUAUGACGAAGGGAACUUUAGCUUUUCAAAUGCUUGGACUUAUUUGGUUAUAAUAAACAACAUGUCACAGGUGUUUGCCAUGUAUUGUUUCCUGCUCUUUCAUAAAGUACCAGAAGAAGAACUGAGCCCAACCUGUUGGCAAAUUUCUUUGUGUAACGCUGGUGGUUUUUGUUUCUUUUUGGCAAGCAGUUGUUAUUGCUUUGUUGGUAAAAGUUGGCAUUAUUUCUGAAAAGCAUACGUGGGAAUGGCAAACUGUAGAAGCUGUGGCCACCGGACUCCAGGAUUUUAUUAUCUGUAAUGAGAUGUUCCUCCCUGCCAUUGCUCAUCAUUACACAUUCUCAUAUAAACCAUAUGUCCAAGAAGCAGAAGAGGGCUCAUGCUUUGAUUCCUUUCUUGCCAUGUGGGAUGUCUCAGAUAUUAGAGAUGAUAUUUCUGAACAAGUAAGGCAUGUUGGACGGACAGUCAGGGGACAUCCCAGGAAAAAAUUGUUUCCCGAGGAUCAAGAUCAAAAUGAACAUACAAGCUUAUUAUCAUCAUCAUCACAAGAUGCAAUUUCCAUUGCUUCUUCUAUGCCACCUUCACCCAUGGGUCACUACCAAGGGUUUGGACACACUGUGACUCCCCAGACUACACCUACCACAGCUAAGAUAUCUGAUGAAAUACUCAGUGAUACUAUAGGAGAGAAAAAAGAACCUUCAGAUAAAUCCGUGGAUUCCUGA